UGUUUCGGGACAGGAUUCCACCCACUCUCAGCACUGGAGUCACCGUGUGCAAAACCCGACGGACUGAUCCCACGUUUGGGAAAUAGUUGCAUAUAAAAGCCUGGGAAGGAGAUAAAGAGAGGAGGCUGCAGUGAUAAUGACCUGAAACCCUCAGGGCUGACUUCCCUGAGGAAGGUCAUUCCCACCAGGAUCUAUGUUCUUUUUCCUGCCUCCACCUCCUCUUUUGUCAUAAAUGACCCGGUGGGAUCCAUCCACAAUGCAGUGCUGAGGCAAUCCUGACAGAUUUGCUCUUUGGAAUUCUCAGAGAGGAAGAUCCUGGAAGAUUGCUCAGUGGCUUAGGCAACAAUCAGGUAGUACUCAAGGAUCACUUCUG